UACAGAGGUCUCAAGCGUUGUUCGGAUUCAUUGGGCGUAGAGGGUGCGUAGGCGGCGCGGUAAGUCGGGUGUGAAAUCUCGGAGCUUAACUCCGAAACUGUAUUCGAUACUGCCGUGCUUGAGGACUGGAGAGGAGACUGGAAUUUACGGUGUAGCGGUGAAAUGCGUAGAUAUCGUAAGGAAGACCAGUGGCGAAGGCGGGUCUCUGGACAGUUCCUGACGCUGAGGCACGAAGGUCAGGGGAGCAAACGGG
rnacentral:rRNA from 1 species